AGUUGUCCCCCUUUCACUCUCCACACACAAAAUCUCAAAAACUCUUUCUUUUGAGAGCUUCAGUAAUAGAAUAACAAAAUAGUUUUGCUUUAGUUAAGUUUGUCAAUACACCCAACAAAGUCAAUUCUUUCAUUUCUUUUCAUCCGUUUAAGUGCAUCAAUAAGUCUACAUCCCUAACAAAAUCAUUUAUACUGCUUGAUGACUCGAAUUACACUCAAUUAAACACAAUACACUUUUUCCCUUUUUUUGUUUUGAUGAUUUUAUCAUUCACUUUCAUAGUUAUGUUAUUAUUUUAUGAUUCGGAGAGUGGAGCAUGCCGACCAUUACAUUCACAUCCGGCAAGUAAAAGGCUAUUCACUAAUUCAGGAUUCGGAGAUUUGAGGAUGCCGGCCAUGUAUUCAAAUCCAGCAAGUAAAAGUGUAUUCACAAAUUGUGGAAUCGGAAAGUUGAGGAUGCCGGCCAUUCAUUCACAUCCGUAAAGUAAAAGGGUAUUCACUAGUUCGGGCACUCCAAUUUAAAAAAUUCAAACUUCAAGAAGUUUCUUAGCCAUAACUUACUUAUAAUAAAUUCAAAUAUUUUAUU